rnacentral:lncRNA from 1 species
GCCGCUCCGGACGGCGUUGCUGCGGGGUUCGUGCGGGGCGGCGUUGCGGGAUCCUCCGUUAUUCCUCCGGGACUCCCCGGUUCUGUCCGUCGCUGAUUGGCGGUUCUUUGUUUCCUCCUCGUUUUUGAACGGCCGCCCCUCCGCUUCUCCGCUCCGCCCCGCCGCGCUCCGCACCGCCGGUUCCGUCGGGAUGGGUUCGGCGUUGCGGGGCGCUGCGGGGUUGCGGGCGCUGUUGGCGCUGUUGGCGCUGAACGCUGCCGGUGCGGUUCGGAAGGAGCUGCAAGGUAAGAGAAUCCGGUACCGCGCCGGACCGACGAACGGAACCGCCCGAACCGAUGGGGCGAUCGAGAGCCGCUGGCGGGGAGGCGGGGAGGUGGCGGCGGUUCGUCGUCCUGCCGUGUCCGGACCGGGGGGUGUCGGUGUCGGUCCCGGUCCGGUGUCGGUGAGGCAGGGAGGUGGUAGCGGUUCUUCGUCACGCUGUGCCCGUACCGGGUGGUGUCGGUCCCGGUCCCGGUGUCCAUCCUGGUGUCAGUCCCGAUGUCGGUCCCGGUCCCGGUGUCGGUCCCGGUGCAGCGGGGAGGUGGUGGCGGUUCGCUGUUCUGCUGUGCCCGCACCGAGGGCUGUCGGUCCCGGUAUCGGUCCUGGUGUCGGUCCUCAUGUCGGUGUCGGUCCUGGUGUCCACCCGGUGUUGGUCCCGGUUCCCGUGUCGGUCCCGGUCCUGUUAUCGAUCCUGGUCCCGGUCCCGAUGUCGGUCCCGGACUGUUGUCGGUCCCGGUCCUGUUGUCGGUCCCGGUCUCCGUGUCCGUCCCGGUCCUGUUGUCGGUCCUGGUCCCGGUCCCGGUCUCCGUGUCCGUCCUGGUCCUGUUGUCGGUCCGGUCCCGGUCCUGUUGUCGGUCCCGGUCCUGUUGUCGGUCCUGGUUCCGGUCUCCGUGUCCGUCCCGGUCCUGUUGUCGGUCCUGUUAUCGGUCCCGGUCCUGUUGUCGGUCCGGGUCCCGGUGUCGGUCCCGGUCCUGUUGUCGGUCCUGGUUUCGGUCUCCGUGUCCGUCCCGUUCCUGUUGUCGGUCCGGUGUCGGUCCUGUUGUCGGUCCGGGUCCCGAUGUCGGUCCCGGUCCCGGUCCGGUGCCGUUGGCGGCCGCCGCCUGGGAGGUCCGACAGCACAGACGAGCAUUCAUGACCGGACCCCCCCACCCCCCCCCCAACUUUGCGGGUCACCGCAGCUCCGGGACGGUUUGGGGUUUUGGGUUUGGGGGGGGGCGGUUCCGUUUAUUGGGA